GACGAACGCUGGCGGCGUGCCUAAUACAUGCAAGUCGAACGCAGUGGCGACGGGUGAGUAACACGUGGGUAACCUUCCAUCAGAGGGGAUAACACUUGGAAACAGGUGCUAAACCGAUACUGACGGAUGGACUCGCGGUGCAUUAGCUAGUUGGUGAGGCAACGGGUCACCAGGGUCACGGUGCAUAGGCGAUCUGAGAGGGUGAGCAGUCACGCUGGGGCUGAGACGCGACGAAGACUCCUGCGGGAGGCAACAGUAGGGAAGAUUAGGCGAUGGACGAAAGUGUGACCGAGCAACGCGGCGUGAGUGAAGAAGGUUUUCGGAACGUGGAACUCUGUUGUUAGAGAAGCGGUAUCUAACCGGAAAGCAACGGCUAACGACGUGCCAGCAGCCGCGGUAAUAC
rnacentral:rRNA from 1 species